CUUCACCUUGAUAACAGCUUUACUUCUCUGCAGCCUCAUCGUCAUUGUUCUGGCUGUUAAAAUCAGGAAACUUCAGACAGCUGUGAAUGAAGAACUGCAGCCAGAAAGAAACAAGGAUCUGGGCUCAGAUGAACUGAACUACGCUGCUCUAAAUUUCCAGGCAAAACCCAAAAGAAGCCGCAGGCCUGCAUCAGAGAGAGAGCUGGAGCCACAUGUUGUGUAUGCUGCCACCAGAUAGACUCAGGAAACAUCUGGAACUGCAGC